rnacentral:rRNA from 1 species
AUUGAACGCUGGCGGCGUGCUUAACACAUGCAAGUCGAUCGGUAACAGGUGUAGCAAUACAUGCUGACGAGAGGCGGACGGGUGAGUAAUGCUUGGGAAUCUGCCUAUUAGUGGGGGACAACCCGGGAAACUCGGGCUAAUACCGCAUACGCUCUACGGAGGAAAGCCGGGACCGCAAGGCCUGGCGCUAAUAGAUGAGCCCAAGUCGGAUUAGCUAGUUGGUAGGGUAACGGCCUACCAAGGCGACAAUCCGUAGCUGGUCUGAGAGGACGACCAGCCACACCGGAACUGAGACACGGUCCGGACUCCUACGGGAGGCAGCAGUGGGGAAUAUUGGACAAUGGGGCAACCCUGAUCCAGCGACGCCGCGUGGGUGAAGAAGGCCUGCGGGUUGUAAAGCCCGUUUCGGUGGGGAAGAAAAGUCUCGACCUAAUACGUCGGGACCUUGACGUAACCCACUAAAGAAGCACCGGCUAACUCUGU